UCAAGAAUCUUCCGCAAUGGGCGAAAGCCUGACGGAGCGACACCGCGUGAUGGAUGAAGUCCCUCAGGGACGUAAACAUCUUUUGUCAAGGAGAAAGUAAUUGAUAGUACUUGAAGAAUAAGGGGUUGCUAAACUCGUGCCAGCAGCAGCGGUAAUACGAGUGCCCCGAGCGUUAUCCGGAAUCAUUGGGCGUAAAGGGUGUGUAGGUGGCGAUGUUAGUCUUUUGUCAAAACCUUGGGCUCAACCCAAGAUCUGCAAAAGAAACGGCAUUGCUCGAGGAUGCGAGGGGUGAAUGGAACUCAUGGAGUAGGGGUGAAAUCCGUUGAUAUCAUGGGGAACACCAAAAGCGAAGGCAAUUCACUGGCGCAUUCCUGACACUGGAACACGAAAGCGUGGGUAGCGAACGGG
rnacentral:rRNA from 1 species